rnacentral:rRNA from 1 species
GACGAACGCUGGCGGCGUGCCUAACACAUGCAAGUCGAGCGGUAAGGCCCUUCGGGGUACACGAGCGGCGAACGGGUGAGUAACACGUGGGCAACCUGCCCUGCACACUGGGAUAAGCCUGGGAAACUAGGUCUAAUACCGGAUACGACCUCGCAAGGCAUCCUGCGAGGUGGAAAGCUCCGGCGGUGCAGGAUGGGCCCGCGGCCUAUCAGCUUGUUGGUGGGGUGAUGGCCCACCAAGGCGACGACGGGUAGCCGGCCUGAGAGGGCGACCGGCCACACUGGGACUGAGACACGGCCCAGACUUCUACGGAAGGCAGCAGUGGGGAAUAUUGCUCAAUGGGCGCAAGCCUGAAGCAGCGACGCCGCGUGAGUGAUGACGGCCUUAGGGUUGUAAAGCUCUUUUCUCCGGGACGAUAAUGACGGUACCGGAGGAAUAAGCCCCGGCUAACUUCGUGCCAGCCGCCGCAGUAACAC